CUGCGUUAGCGGUUGAAGCGGCAUCCUUUUGCGGCCGCAGCGCAGCGGAGGCCGUAAAAGAUAGAGCGAAAGACGCGGUGGCGG
rnacentral:misc_RNA from 1 species